UGGGGAAUAUUGGACAAUGGGCGGAAGCCUGAUCCAGCAACGCCGCGUGUGGGAUGAAGCUCUUCGGAGUGUAAACCACUGUUGCCCGGGACGAACAGCUCGAUUAAUCGAGCCUGACGGUACCGGGUGAGGAAGCACCGGCUAACUACGUGCCAGCAGCCGCGGUAAUACGUAGGGUGCGAGCGUUAAUCGGAAUUACUGGGCGUAAAGUGUGCGCAGGCGGCCGCGCAAGUCGAGUGUGAAAGCCCCGAGCUUAACUUGGGAAUGGCGCUCGAAACUACGUGGCUGGAGUGUGGCAGAGGAAGGUGGAAUUCCACGUGUAGCGGUGAAAUGCGUAGAGAUGUGGAGGAACACCAAUGGCGAAGGCAGCCUUCUGGGCCAACACUGACGCUCAUGCACGAAAGCGUGGGGAGCAAACAGGAUUAGAUACCC
rnacentral:rRNA from 1 species